UGUUGCUCCUGUUAAUGUGUAUUCAGUCCCUCGUUACUCUAUCAUCACCGUACACCAAUGAUUGGUGAGAUCCAGUGAGAUAAGUGGAUUUGAAAUCUGUUCAACAGUUUUUCUAAUCUGGAGAUAAAGAAACACAGACUUAUGAAGACUAAGAAGAGGAACUCUGUUUACAUCAGUCACAGAAUGCAAGGAAGAAAAGCAGAAUACUUACCUCAAGACCUCAGAUAUCAGAAAGUUUUCUGCCCACUGCUGCAAAGAGACAUCAUCUCACAAAGACUACCCCAGACAAUGCCAAGGGGGUCAGCAGAAGCAAGGAGAAGCACUUUACUUCAGCUAGUCUGCGGGUGAAGUGGAAAGGAAAGAAGAGCCAGCAGCAAAACAAAAGAAUUGGGUGUACACUGAAGAUACUCACUGAGAUGGCAAAGACAGAGGGCCUAAAGUAAGAGAAGGGAACAAGAAGAUAUGCCUUUGUAAUAGGAAGACCCUCUUUAUUGACCAGACCAACUAUACUAAACUGAACUGAAUGAAACUUUUGGUUUAAAAGAUAAUUCCGAGUUGCAGGAAAAAUAUUUUUUAUGUUCUUAAAUGGUUCUGAGUAGAGCCCAAAGACUGCAUCCAAAAUAGGGAGCAAAUCAAGAUAGUGGAAAUAAAUG
rnacentral:lncRNA from 1 species